GAUUCCAAAAGGGGAAAAAAAGAGAAACAAUAAUAUUUCAAUGGAUAAGUGCCAAAGAGAUUAAUAUGCUACAUUUGCUUUGUCAGAUAGCCUGUCAACUUCAGUGUAAAUUCAUUCAGGCUGUUCAGAGAUUAUUGAAUAUGAAGGUUUUGGGAGUAGCCAGGACAAAAGCUUUUAGCAUUGUCCUUUUUUAUGGAGUCUAAUUCCACAACUUCUAUUAGGAGGCAGGCUUCCUUUUAUAGCCUCUCAGCUGGGUUUCCCAUUGUGAUUUAAGGGUGAUUUGCAAAGGAGCUAGUUUACUAUUUUAAGCUGAUUUUUUUUCCUUCAACUGCUGUUAGCUUUGUAGCUUUUGGAGGAUUCAUGAACCCUCUUAUUUUUCAUUUCUUGUUUCUUAAUGAUUUCUUGUUUCAUUUCUUAGCUUUUAGACGAGUAUCUACGAUGAUACAAGAAACUAAUUUAAUGACUGUGAAGACGUUCUCAUUUUUGUAAUGCGUGUUAAACUUAUCAUAUAUUAAACUAUGAAGAUGCUUCCAGAUUAGGCGACAUUUUUUUCUUCAGUUUUGCCCCCAAAUAAAUGCAAUGUGCAUCACUCUCAAAUCAUUAUACUUUACUGUGCAUUUAUGACAAUAGUUAAUAAAGAAAAUUUAGUAAAAUUGUUAGUAUCACAAUCCUAGUUAAUUAAUCCUAAAAACAAUUAUUCACCCUAAGUCAUGGCAAUUUGUAACAGAAACAAAGCUUGCUUACAAGUCUUCAAAUCACAUUUCU
rnacentral:lncRNA from 1 species